rnacentral:rRNA from 1 species
GACAGAGGAUGCAAGCGUUAUCCGGAAUGAUUGGGCGUAAAGCGUCUGUAGGUGGCUUUUCAAGUCUGCCGUCAAAUCCCAGGGCUCAACCCUGGACAGGCGGUGGAAACUACCAAGCUGGAGUACGGUAGGGGCAGAGGGCUCGUAGAGCCGGUGGAGCAGUGAAAUGCGUAGAGAUCAGAAAGAACACCAAUGGCGAAAGCACUCUGUUGGGCUGACACUGACACUGAGAGACGAAAGCUAGGGGAGCAAAUGGG